AAGGUUGAUAGGCUGGAGGUGGAAGCGCCGCGAGGCGUGCAGCUGACCAGUACUAAUCGGUCGAGGGCUUAUCCUA
rnacentral:rRNA from 1 species